rnacentral:rRNA from 1 species
GGGGAAUAUUGGCCAUUGGGGGCAAGCCUAAUCAACCAAUGCCGCGGGGGUGAAGAAGGCCUUCGGGUUGUAAAGCCCUUUUGUUGGGAAAGAAAAGCAGCCGGCAAUAACCCGGUUGUCCUAACGGUACCCAAAGAAUAAGCACCGGCGACCUUCGUGCCAGCAGCCGCGGUAAUACGAAGGGUGCAAGCGUUACUCGGAAUUACUGGGCGUAAAGCGUGCGUAGGUGGUGGUUUAAGUCCGUUGUGAAAGCCCUGGGCUCAACCUGGGAACUGCAGUGGAUACUGGAUCACUAGAGUGUGGCAGAGGGUAGUGGAAUUCCCGGUGUAGCAGUGAAAUGCGUAGAGAUCGGGAGGAACAUCAGUGGCGAAGGCGACUGCCUGGGCCAACACUGACACUGAGGCACGAAAGCGUGGGGAGCAAACA